AACGAACGCUGGCGGCAUGCCUAACACAUGCAAGUCGAACGAUCCCUUCGGGGAUAGUGGCGCACGGGUGCGUAACGCGUGGGAACCUGCCCUUAGGUUCGGAAUAACUCAGAGAAAUUUGAGCUAAUACCGGAUAAUGUCUUCGGACCAAAGAUUUAUCGCCUUUGGAUGGGCCCGCGUUGGAUUAGCUAGUUGGUGGGGUAAAGGCCUACCAAGGCGACGAUCCAUAGCUGGUCUGAGAGGAUGAUCAGCCACACUGGGACUGAGACACGGCCCAGACUCCUACGGGAGGCAACAGUGGGGAAUAUUGGACAAUGGGCGAAAGCCUGAUCCAGCAAUGCCGCGUGAGUGAUGAAGGCCUUAGGGUUGUAAAGCUCUUUUACCCGGGAUGAUAAUGACAGUACCGGGAGAAUAAGCCCCGGCUAACUCCGUG
rnacentral:rRNA from 1 species